CCAAAUUCCCUACGACGCCUGCUGUGACUCCGACUCCACUGGUGCAACCGACACCGUUGGCUCCCGCCUUCCGCUGUGAGUCUGCGAUGAAUUGACAACAGCGGACAACGAAGCAAGCAGAAGCCAAGGCCGAUGACGCCGACGCAGCCGCCUCCCGUCCUCCCCUGCGAAUUGCCAAUCUUAGGUUUUGGUACUUCUCCCGCUAACCUCUGGUGAAUAGUUCCUUAAAAUGCACACCCUCCAGAACCAAAAGACUUUGAUGGGAACAUCGAAGGUGAUGGACAAACCCCACAGCUGUGCCUACCUCACAUUAAUGAAGUUGAGGUUAAUGGCAUUACUAUGAAGGUUAAAUCUUGUGAUACCUGCAUGCUCUACAGACCUCCUUGUUCAAUAUGCAACAACUGUGUUGAAAGAUUUGACCACCACGCCCUUGGGUUGGUAAUGCUAAAAUUUUCACCACUUACUCUUGAUAUGAAAUCAGACUUUAUGUUGUGUAGUUUGAUUGUUUUAUCUUUCGAAUAGCUGGAAUAGAACUGUCUUUUUUCCCAAUGAAUUUGCAUCCUUAAAAUCUGACAAUUUUUUGUUGCAGAGGAACUACUGGUUCUUUUUCAUGUUUGUGUUCUCUACGACUCUUCUUUGUAUAUAUGUGUUUGGUUAAUUGUUAGGUCUACAAUAGAAGGGAUGUUGAAGAUACAACAAUAUGGAAGGCAAUGAUUAAAACCCCUGCUUCUAUGGUUCUAAUAGCUUACAGCCUUACACCUUCAUUUCAGUACGGUUUGUUGGUGGUCUUACUGCCGUUUCAUUUAUACCUCAUCAACACAAAUUAGAGUACUUAUGAAAACAUUAUAUAUGGAUAAUGAUGGCGAGCAAACCCCUAUAACGAAGGAGUGGUGCAAAAUUUUUUAGAGAUAUUAUCUACCUCCAUCGAAUGAUUUCAGGGGAUCCUGCAUUACCAGCUAGACAUACAGUGGGGUUUUUUUUAGUCCAAACAUGAGCAAAGCUGUGUGAGCAUAAAUAUAAUAUGUGCAGUCCAACUAUCAGUUUAGGCUUUUAGUUGAUAUGGAGCACAUGCUUUAAUUUGGUAUCAGAGCCACCCAAAUGAUCAUGAGUUCGAAUCUCCGCGCCACUCUAAAAAAGAGACUUCCACGUGUUACGCUCUCGGAAA